rnacentral:rRNA from 1 species
CCUACGGGAGGCAGCAGUGAGGAAUAUUGGUCAAUGGACGAGAGUCUGAACCAGCCAAGUAGCGUGAAGGAUGACUGUCCUAUGGGUUGUAAACUUCUUUUAUAAAGGAAUAAAACGAGGCACGUGUGCCUUUUUGCAUGUACUUUAUGAAUAAGGAUCGGCUAACUCCGUGCCAGCAGCCGCGGUAAUACGGAGGAUCCGAGCGUUAUCCGGAUUGAUUGGGUUUAAAGGGAGCGUAGAUGGGUUGUUAAGUCAGUUGUGAAAGUUUGCGGCUCAACCGUAAAAUUGCAAUUGAUACUGGCAGUCUUGAGUACAGUUGAGGUAGGCGGAAUUCGUGGUGUAGCGGUGAAAUGCUUAGAUAUCACGAAGAACCCCGAUUGCGAAGGCAGCUUACUAAACUGUGACUGACAUUGAUGCUCGAGAGUGUGGGUAUCAAACAGGAUUAGAUACCCUAGUAGUC